CUGAUGCGUUGUUGGGUAGGGGAGCGUUCUGUAAGCCUGUGAAGGUGGCCUGUGAGGGUUGCUGGAGGUAUCAGAAGUGCGAAUGCUGACAUAAGUAACGAUAAAGCGGGUGAAAAGCCCGCUCGCCGGAAGACCAAGGGUUCCUGUCCAACGUUAAUCGGGGCAGGGUGAGUCGACCCCUAAGGCGAGGCCGAAAGGCGUAGUCGAUGGGAAACGGGUUAAUAUUCCCGUACUUGGUGUUACUGCGAAGGGGGGACGGAGAAGGCUAUGUUGGCCGGGCGACGGUUGUCCCGGUUUAAGCGUGUAGGUGUGUGUUCCAGGUAAAUCCGGUUCACUUUAACACUGAGGCGUGAUGACGAGGCACUACGGUGCUGAAGCAACAAAUGCCCUGCUUCCAGGAAAAGCCUCUAAGCAUCAGGUAACAUCAAAUCGUACCCCAAACCGACACAGGUGGUCAGGUAGAGAAUACCAAGGCGCUUGAGAGAACUCGGGUGAAGGAACUAGGCAAAAUGGUGCCGUAACUUCGGGAGAAGGCACGCUGACAUGUAGGUGAAGUGAUUUACUCAUGGAGCUGAAGUCAGUCGAAGAUACCAGCUGGCUGCAACUGUUUAUUAAAAACACAGCACUGUGCAAACACGAAAGUGGACGUAUACGGUGUGACGCCUGCCCGGUGCCGGAAGGUUAAUUGAUGGGGUCAGCGCAAGCGAAGCUCCUGAUCGAAGCCCCGGUAAACGGCGGCCGUAACUAUAACGGUCCUAAGGUAGCGAAAUUCCUUGUCGGGUAAGUUCCGACCUGCACGAAUGGCGUAAUGAUGGCCAGGCUGUCUCCACCCGAGACUCAGUGAAAUUGAACUCGCUGUGAAGAUGCAGUGUACCCGCGGCAAGACGGAAAGACCCCGUGAACCUUUACUAUAGCUUGACACUGAACAUUGAGCCUUGAUGUGUAGGAUAGGUGGGAGGCUUUGAAGUGUGGACGCCAGUCUGCAUGGAGCCGACCUUGAAAUACCACCCUUUAAUGUUUGAUGUUCUAACGUGGACCCGUAAUCCGGGUUGCGGACAGUGUCUGGUGGGUAGUUUGACUGGGGCGGUCUCCUCCUAAAGAGUAACGGAGGAGCACGAAGGUUGGCUAAUCCUGGUCGGACAUCAGGAGGUUAGUGCAAUGGCAUAAGCCAGCUUGACUGCGAGCGUGACGGCGCGAGCAGGUGCGAAAGCAGGUCAUAGUGAUCCGGUGGUUCUGAAUGGAAGGGCCAUCGCUCAACGGAUAAAAGGUACUCCGGGGAUAACAGGCUGAUACCGCCCAAGAGUUCAUAUCGACGGCGGUGUUUGGCACCUCGAUGUCGGCUCAUCACAUCCUGGGGCUGAAGUAGGUCCCAAGGGUAUGGCUGUUCGCCAUUUAAAGUGGUACGCGAGCUGGGUUUAGAACGUCGUGAGACAGUUCGGUCCCUAUCUGCCGUGGGCGCUGGAGAACUGAGGGGGGCUGCUCCUAGUACGAGAGGACCGGAGUGGACGCAUCACUGGUGUUCGGGUUGUCAUGCCAAUGGCACUGCCCGGUAGCUAAAUGCGGAAGAGAUAAGUGCUGAAAGCAUCUAAGCACGAAACUUGCCCCGA
rnacentral:rRNA from 1 species